UGCAUGUCUCAGUACUUGCUUUUACAAGGCGAAACCGCGAAUGGCUCAUUAAAUCAGUUAUGGUUCACUAGAUCGUACAGUUUACAUGGAUAACUGUGGUAAUUCUAGAGCUAAUACAUGCACUCAGCUCGCUUCUUCGGGAGCGAGCGCAGUUAUUAGAAUAAAACCAAUCCGGCCUUCGGGUCGGUAAAAUUGGUGACUCUGAAUAACCGAAGCGGAGCGCAUGGUCUCGUACCGGCGCCAGAUCUUUCAAGUGUCUGACUUAUCAGCUCGUAGUUAGGUUACGUUCCUAACUAGGCUAUUACGGGUAACGGGGUGUCAGGGCCCGACACCGGAGAGGGAGCCUGAGAAACGGCUACCACAUCCAAGGAAGGCAGCAGGCGCGCAAAUUACCCACUCCCGGCACGGGGAGGUAGUGACGAAAAAUAACGAUGCGAGAGCUUUUAGCUCCUCGUAAUCGGAAUGGGUACACUUUAAAUCCUUUAACGAGGAUCUAUUGGAGGGCAAGUCUGGUGCCAGCAGCCGCGGUAAUUCCAGCUCCAAUAGCGUAUAUUAAAGUUGCUGCGGUUAAAAAGCUCGUAGUUGGAUCUGGGUAGUCGAUGAGCGGUGCGCUUUACGGCGUAACUGUUCGUUCGGCACCACAAGCCGGUUAUGUCUUGCAUGCUCUUCACUGAGUGUGCUUGGCGACCGGAACGUUUACUUUGAAAAAAUUAGAGUGCUCAAAGCAGGCGUAUGGCCUUGCAUAAUGGUGCAUGGAAUAAUAGAAUAGGACCUCGGUUCUAUUUUGUUGGUUUUCGGAGCUCGAGGUAAUGAUUAAUAGGAACAGACGGGGGCAUUCGUAUUGCGGCGUUAGAGGUGAAAUUCUUGGAUCGUCGCAAGACGCACUA
rnacentral:rRNA from 1 species